rnacentral:misc_RNA from 1 species
AACCUUAUGGACCUGCGGGCGUAUACCUGCGGAAGGAUCAUUAAAGUAUAAUUUGAUUUUGAAUGUUCUUCGGAGGGUUCAAUCAAUCAAUCUAUCUGACUUUUGUGGUAUUAUUGAAAAACUGUAUUGGAUUUAAAGAUGGUAUCACGUGAGUGAUAUCGAUCCAAGCUUUUUUUAUCAACUCUCUCUUUUUAUUGGACUGAAUUUUAUCAAGUUAAACCUUAUUGGUUUAAAUAAAGU